UAAAUAUUUAUUUGCUUAUUUUGAUAAAUUUAUAAAAAAACAAAUUAUGUUUGUGUUAGAAUGAUAAUAUCUAC
rnacentral:tRNA from 1 species